CUGGGUGUAGCUCAGACGGGUAGAGUGCCGGACUUGGACUCCGGAGGCCGCAGGUUCGAGUCCUGCCACCCAGACCA
rnacentral:tRNA from 1 species